UACGAAGGGGGCUAGCGUUGCUCGGAAUGACUGGGCGUAAAGGGCGCUUAGGCGGCGCAUUUGGUCAGGCGUGAAAUUCCUGGGCUUAACCUGGGGACUGCGCUUGAGACGGGUGUGCUGGAGGGCAGGAGAGGGAUGCGGAAUUCCAGGUGUAGCGGUGAAAUGCGUAGAUAUCUGGAGGAACACCGGUGGCGAAGGCGGCAUCCUGGACCGGCAUUGACGCUGAGACACGAAAGCGUGGGGAGCAAACAGG
rnacentral:rRNA from 1 species